rnacentral:rRNA from 1 species
GUAAACCUCUUUCAGCACGGAAGAAGCGAAAGUGACGGUACGUGCAGAAGAAGCGCCGGCUAACUACGUGCCAGCAGCCGCGGUAAUACGUAGGGCGCAAGCGUUGUCCGGAAUUAUUGGGCGUAAAGAGCUCGUAGGCGGUUUGUCGCGUCUGCUGUGAAAGCCCGGGGCUUAACCCCGGGUGUGCAGUGGGUACGGGCAGACUUGAGUGCAGUAGGGGAGACUGGAAUUCCUGGUGUAGCGGUGAAAUGCGCAGAUAUCAGGAGGAACACCGAUGGCGAAGGCAGGUCUCUGGGCUGUUACUGACGCUGAGGAGCGAAAGCAUGGGGAGCGAACAGGAUUAGAUACCCUGGUAGUCCAUGCCGUAAACGUUGGGCACUAGGUGUGGGGAACAUUCCACGUUUUCCGCGCCGUAGCUAACGCAUUAAGUGCCCCGCCUGGGGAGUACGGCCGCAAGGCUAAAACUCAAAGGAAUUGACGGGGGCCCGCACAAGCGGCGGAGCAUGCGGAUUAAUUCGAUGCAACGCGAAGAACCUUACCAAGGCUUGACAUACACCGGACCGGGCCAGAGAUGGUCUUUCCCCCUUGUGGGGCUGGUGUACAGGUGGUGCAUGGUUGUCGUCAGCUCGUGUCGUGAGAUGUUGGGUUAAGUCCCGCAACGAGCGCAACCCUCGUUCUAUGUUGCCAGCACGUGAUGGUGGGGACUCAUAGGAGACUGCCGGGGUCAACUCGGAGGAAGGUGGGGAUGACGUCAAAUCAUCAUGCCCCUUAUGUCUUGGGCUUCACGCAUGCUACAAUGGCCAGUACAAUGGGUUGCGAUGCCGCGAGGUGGAGCUAAUCCCAAAAAGCUGGUCUCAGUUCGGAUCGUGGUCUGCAACUCGACCACGUGAAGUCGGAGUCGCUAGUAAUCGCAGAUCAGCAACGCUGCGGUGAAUACGUUCCCGGGCCUUGUACACACCGCCCGUCAAGUCACGAAAGUUGGUAACACCCGAAGCCGGUGGCCUAACCCUUGUGGGGGGAGCCGUCGAAGGUGGGACUGGCGAUUGGGACUAAG